UCCUACGGGGGGCAGCAGUAGGGAAUCUUCCACAAUGGGCGAAAGCCUGAUGGAGCAACGCCGCGUGGGUGAAGAAGGUCUUCGGAUCGUAAAACCCUGUUGUUAGAGAAGAAAGUGCGUGAGAGUAACUGUUCACGUUUCGACGGUAUCCAACCAGAAAGCCACGGCUAACUACGUGCCAGCAGCCGCGGUAAUACGUAGGUGGCAAGCGUUAUCCGGAUUUAUUGGGCGCAAAGGGAACGCAGGCGGUCUUUCAAGUCUGAUGUGAAAGCCUUCGGCUUAACCGGAGUAGUGCAUUGGAAACU
rnacentral:rRNA from 1 species